GAUGAAGAACGCAGCGAAAUGCGAUACGUAAUGUGAAUUGCAGAAUUCAGUGUAUCAUCGAAUCUUUGAACGCACAUUGCGCCUGCCAGCACUCUGGCAGGCAUGCCUGUUCGAGCGUCAUUUCAACCAUCAAGCCCUAGGCUUGCGUUGGAGCCCUGCGGCUGCCGCAGGCCCCUAAAAGCAGUGGCGGGCUCGCUAUCACACCGAGUGCAGUAGAUUACUCUUCGCUCAGGGCGUGUGGCGGGUUCCAGCCGUGAAACCCCCUACUUCUCAAGGUUGACCUCGGAUCAGGUAGGAAUACCCGCUGAACUUAAGCAUAUCAAUAAGCGGAGGA
rnacentral:misc_RNA from 1 species